AUGGAUGUGAGAGUGGACUAUAAAGAAAGCUGAGCGCCGAAGAAUUGAUGCUUUUGAACUGUGGUGUUGGAGAAGACUCUUGAGAGUCCCUUGGACUGCAAGGAGAUCCAACCAGUCCAUCCUAAGGGAAAUCAGUGCUGAGUGUUCAUUGGAAGGACUGAUGCUGAAGCUGCAACUCCAAUACGUUGGCCACCUGAUGCAAAGAACUGACUCAUUUGAAAAAACCCUGAUGCUGGGCAAGAUUGAGGGCAGGAGGAGAAGUGGAUGACAGUGGAUGAGAUUGGCAUUGCCAUUGGCAUCACCGACCAAUGGACAUGAGUUUGGGCAAACUCCAGGAGUUGGUGGUGAACAGGGAGGCCUGGUGUGCUGCGGUUCAUGGGGUCACAAAGAGUCAGACAGGACUGAGUGACUGAACUGAACUGAACUGAGGAAACUUCAGGAGAUGGUGAAGGACAGGGAAGCCUGGCGUGCUGCAGAGGUUGCAGGGUUGGAUACAACUGAGCGACUGAACAACAACAUACCAUAGGCAAUACUAUAUGAAUAUGAACAUCUGGGUUUAAGUCCAGGAUGCCCCAUUCAAGUAGCCUGCUUCUUCAAGCCUUGGCCUUCAUGUUUCUAGGACUGAGAUCCUGCUACUUGCAGCAUGGGACUGCUACCAGGACUAAAUGAGUGCUUUGUUUACUGUAGAGUUACAGGUCUCUCCAGAAAGUAUCUUCCAGUAUGUGCCUAGAAGAUACCGUCCUAGCUACCCGUGGUCUGGGAGCCAAGCCAGUGAGGAGUGGGGCGGAUCUCAGCCCUCAGUCCCCUGUGAGAAUCUCUAGCAUCGUCCUGUCUUCAGGCCGGUGCCCCAUCCCCACGGCUGCUGCUGUGCCUUUAUCCAGAGACUUGUGUUUUCAGCCGUUUAGUCUUGUUGGGGGCUUGGGGCCGUGCAGUGGUCUGGCUGUGUGAACAUGGGGAAGGGUUGGGGUUAGAGACACUCUCUAGUGACUAUCACCCAGUCCUUCUGUUUUCAGUCCCGUCUGCACCCACACUUCUGGAAACAGCUGGUACCACCAAGUACAGGCCACAGAGCCUGUGGGAGUCCUCAGCGCAGGCCGAGCUGCUCCUUGCCUUUCCUCACCCUGGGCCUCAGAUUCAGCGUGUCAUCUACGAGUCAGCGGUUACUCAUCCUUCAGUGUUCAAGCCCCGCCACGUUUUGUCGUCUCUGUGUGGUCUUGUGCGGUACAGGGUCCUUUUGCCGUCAUUUAGACGGGUUUCCAGGAGGAGCUGGAGGAAGUGCCUGUGUGUAGUCUGCACGUGGGGACUGACUGACUCGUGGGCUGGGAAGGAAAAGGUAGCACAUGGGUCGGUGGACGGGUUGAGCAGGAGGCAGAUGGCAUGCUGGCCGAGGGUGAAGGGCCUGGCAGACCUGGAGGGGCAGAGACUAGGCGGGGGAGCUGAACCUCGUGGCGCAGCCUUAGAACUUAGGAGAGCUCCAUUCAAGGUACUGCCUCGGCAGAGUCCAAAGGUGUUGCUGAAUCAGGAUCAGAAAGCGGCUUCAAGCCGUAUCCAAGAGAGUGCAUCAAGGACCUUAGAAAUAGCUGUAAUCUUAUUCAAUUAACUUCAUUUGUAGAAUUCUUCCUGAGAAGAGAAAGUAUAGAAU
ensembl:lncRNA